rnacentral:rRNA from 1 species
GGGGUGCAACACGAGGACUUCCCAGGAGGUCACCCAUCCUAGUACUACUCUCGCCCAAGCACGCUUACCUGCGGAGUUCUGAUGGGAUCCGGUGCAUUAGUGCUGGUAUGAUCGCACCC